rnacentral:rRNA from 1 species
GUCUUAUUGAUAAAUAAUUUUAAGUCUUGCCUGCCCCCUGUUUAGAUAAAUGGCCGCAGUAUUUUGACUGUGCUAAGGUAGCAUAAUCAUUAGUUUUUUAAUUGAAAGCUAGAAUGAAUGGUAAUAUGAAAAAAUAGCUGUCUCUUUUAUAUAAUUAAAAUUUUAUUUUUAAGUAAAAAAGCUUAAAUAAUGUUAAAAGACGAGAAGACCCUAUAGAAUUUUAUUUAAAUUAGUUUUUAAUUUAUUAGUAAUUUAAAAUUUAUUUGAUUAAUUUAUAUUUAAUUGGGGUGAUUAGAAAAUUAAAUAAUCUUUUCUUUAUAAUACCAUUUAUAUAUGAUUAUAUGAUUCAUUUUAAUGAUUAAAGAAUAAAUUACCUUAGGGAUAACAGCGUAAUUUUUUUUUUAAGUUCUAAUUAAUAAAAAAGAUUGCGACCUCGAUGUUGGAUUAAAUU